rnacentral:rRNA from 1 species
UACGUAGGGCGCAAGCGUUAUCCGGAAUUAUUGGGCGUAAAGAGCUCGUAGGCGGUUUGUCGCGUCUGCCGUGAAAGUCCGGGGCUCAACUCCGGAUCUGCGGUGGGUACGGGCAGACUAGAGUGAUGUAGGGGAGACUGGAAUUCCUGGUGUAGCGGUGAAAUGCGUAGAUAUCAGGAGGAACACCGGUGGUGCAAACGGCUUUCUGGACCGUAACUGACGCUGAGACACGAAAGCGUGGGGAGCAAACAGG